UUUCGAAUAACAUGACAUUUUUCCUCCAAUGCAAGUCCCUAAGAAUUCCCGCUCUUUGGGAGAGAAAAAAUAAAAACCCACACCCUCUGCCCUACCCUCUUCCCCCUCUCUCUGGCAUUCUGUCCAUGCAGUAGUGCCUCCAACGGGAGGAGCGACUCCACUUUACCAGAGAUGACGGAGCACAUCCGUCCAAUGCCAGUCCCCUUCUCUCCACCGGUACCGAGAGGGACAGUCUGCGACACGGCAGCUCUGGCUGGACGCCGGACGGGAGCGCUGGACACAGCCGGUCUCGGCGGGGCUGCGGUGGUCUCCAACCUGGCAGAAAACCUCCCGCCGCUGAACUCCGUCACCGCAUGAGGCUGAACACUGAAAGCAGGGGAGCUAUCAAGUUUAUUUUCAUGCAUUUUGGAUCAAAAUAAACAUUUCUCUUGGUACCAUUUUCCACAGAUAUCAAUACUAAAUGGACAGACUUUUUAUAGUGCUUUCCUAGUCAUACCGGCCACUCAAAGCGCUUUACACUAGAUCCACAUUGACCCAGUCUCGCUCACUAAGACACACACAUCCACACACCAAUAUGCAGAUGGUAGGUAACCUGGGGUUAAGUGUUUUGCCCAGGGGCACACUGACAUGUGACAGGAGGAAGCUGGAAUCAAACCCACAACUUUUGGAAAUGCAAGACUAUUGUUCCCACUGCACUAUUGUGAUAUUACAAGUAUUUUAUUUACAGAUUAGAGAAAGAACUUUUACACAUCAUUACAGAAAUAAAAGGAGAAAUGCUUCUGUUUGUGCUUCAAAGUUCAGAGACUUUGC